GACGAACCGAGCGAACGUUGUUCGGAAUCACUGGGCUUAAAGGGCGCGUAGGCGGGCCUGAAAGUCAAGGGUGAAAGCCCCCGGCUCAACCGGGGAAGUGCCCCUGAUACUUCAGGCCUCGAGGGAGGUAGGGGCAUGCGGAACUUCCGGUGGAGCGGUGAAAUGCGUAGAUAUCGGAAGGAACGCCAGUGGCGAAAGCGGCGUGCUGGACCUCUUCUGACGCUGAGGCGCGAAAGCCAGGGGAGCGAACGGG
rnacentral:rRNA from 1 species